rnacentral:rRNA from 1 species
CCUACGGGUGGCAGCAGUGGGGAAUAUUGCACAAUGGGGGCAACCCUGAUGCAGCAACGCCGCGUGGGGGAAUGAAGGUCUUCGGAUUGUAAACCCCUGUCAUGUGGGAGCAAAUUAAAAAGAUAGUACCACAAGAGGAAGAGACGGCUAACUAUGUGCCAGCAGCCGCGGUAAUACAGAGGUCUCAAGAGUUGUUCGGAAUCACUGGGCGUAAAGCGUGCGUAGGCGGUUUCGUAAGUCGUGUGUGAAAGGCGCGGGCUCAACCCGCGGACGGCACAUGAUACUGGGAGACUAGAGUAAUGGAGGGGGAACCGGAAUUCUCGGUGUAGCAGUGAAAUGCGUAGAUAUCGAGAGGAACACUCGUGGCGAAGGCGGGUUCCUGGACAUUAACUGACGCUGAGGCACGAAGGCCAGGGGAGCGAAAGGGAUUAGAUACCCCUGUAGUC